GAGACACCCUUAUGAGGCAGGACUUGCUUCAGUGGGGCUUUGGUGCUCACUGAGUCUGCUUCUUGAGUGUGUCCCU
rfam:Myotis lucifugus cont2.20133, whole genome shotgun sequence.